rnacentral:rRNA from 1 species
AAAUUGAAGAGUUUGAUCAUGGCUCAGAUUGAACGCUGGCGGCAGGCCUAACACAUGCAAGUCGAACGGUAACAGGAAGCAGCUUGCUGCUUCGCUGACGAGUGGCGGACGGGUGAGUAAUGUCUGGGAAACUGCCUGAUGGAGGGGGAUAACUACUGGAAACGGUAGCUAAUACCGCAUAACGUCGCAAGACCAAAGAGGGGGACCUUCGGGCCUCUUGCCAUCGGAUGUGCCCAGAUGGGAUUAGCUAGUAGGUGGGGUAACGGCUCACCUAGGCGACGAUCCCUAGCUGGUCUGAGAGGAUGACCAGCCACACUGGAACUGAGACACGGUCCAGACUCCUACGGGAGGCAGCAGUGGGGAAUAUUGCACAAUGGGCGCAAGCCUGAUGCAGCCAUGCCGCGUGUAUGAAGAAGGCCUUCGGGUUGUAAAGUACUUUCAGCGGGGAGGAAGGCGAUAAGG